rnacentral:rRNA from 1 species
UACGGAGGGUGCAAACGUUGCUCGGAAUUAUUGGGCGUAGAGCGCACGUAGGCGGUCCAGCAAGUCGGGAGUGAAAUCCCUCGGCUCAACCGAGGAAGUGCUUUCGAAACUACUGGACUUGAGUACUGGAGAGGGUCGCGGAAUUCCCGGUGUAGAGGUGAAAUUCGUAGAUAUUGGAAGGAACACCGGAGGCGAAAGCGGUGUACUGGGGCUGGUCUGACGCUGAGGCACGAAAGCCAGGGGAGCGAACGGG